rnacentral:rRNA from 1 species
CCUACGGGAGGCAGCAGUGAGGAAUUUUGGGCAAUGGGGGCAACCCUGACCCAGCGACGCCGCGUGCAGGAUGACGGCCCUUCGGGUUGUAAACUGCUUUCGGGUGAGAAGAAAAGCCGAUUUGAUCGGCUGGGACUGUACCACCAGAAGAAGCACCGGCUAACUACGUGCCAGCAGCCGCGGUAAUACGUAGGGUGCAAGCGUUAUCCGGAAUCACUGGGUGUAAAGGGUGUGUAGGCGGAUUUGUGCGUCAGAGGUUAAAUAUCCAGGCUCAACUUGGAAAAUGCCUUUGAUACGGCAAGUCUUGAGUAUAAGAGAGGAAGAUGGAAUUCCUGGUGUAGAAGUGAAAUUCGUAGAUAUCAGGAGGAACACCGGUGGCGAAGGCGGUCUUCUGGCUUAUUACUGACGCUGAGGCACGAAAGCGUGGGGAUCAAACAGGAUUAGAUACCCUGGUAGUCCACGCCCUAAACGAUGUAUGCUUGGUGUUAGCCACGUAAGUGGCUAGUGCCGGAGGUAACCCGUUAAGCAUACCACCUGGGGAGUACGAUCGCAAGGUUGAAACUCAAAGGAAUUGACGGGGGCCCGCACAAGCGGUGGAUCAUGUGGUUUAAUUCGAUGAUACGCGAGGAACCUUACCUGGGCUCGAACGUGGAAUGACAGUCGCGGAAACGUGAUCUUCUUCGGACACUCUACGAGGUGCUGCAUGGUUGUCGUCAGCUCGUGCCGUGAGGUGUCGGGUUAAGUCCCAUAACGAGCGCAACCCCUAUCUUUAGUUGCCAUCAGGUCGAGCUGGGGACUCUAAAGAAACUGCCUACGCAAGUAGUGAGGAAGGCGGGGAUGACGUCAAAUCAGCACGGCCCUUACGUCCAGGGCUACACACGUGCUACAAUGGCCGGUACAGAGGGCAGCUACUGGGUGACCAGAUGCAAAUCUCCAAAGCCGGUCUCAGUUCGGAUCGAAGUCUGAAACUCGACUUCGUGAAGUUGGAUUCGCUAGUAAUCGCGCAUCAGCCAUGGCGCGGUGAAUACGUUCCCGGGCCUUGUACACACCGCC